GUGGGCUUGUGGCUCAAUGGUAGAGCACUUGCCGAGCAUGCGUGAGGCACUGGGUUUGAUCCCAGCACCACA
rnacentral:tRNA from 1 species